GAUAAGAUAUACUUGAAUCCUUAAGUCACUCCAUUUUAUCAAUCAUACUAGAUUAGAUGCAUUGCAUUGCUUUCCUUCACCUUAGCAAAACGCACAUGGUCCAAACCAUCGCUUAACCAAAGCUUGCUUAGCCCCUCGCUCUAGCAUCUCGCUUGAUUUCUUCACCUAUUUUGCCACAUUGAGUUUAGCUUUACUUUUUACAUCAACAAUGAAUUCCUAUUCAAAUGCUUGUUCUUGAUUAAUAAUAGAAUAUCCCACGAAUUGCAAGCUUCCAAUAAUAAGACCAAUAUGAAACACAUAAGUCCAUGUCUUUUUAUCAUAUAUGCAUGGAGUCUUGCAAUGUCCGAUUGUGAAUAUCACUAUUCUUUUCUUCAUGAUCUCUUCACUUGUCAAUCAAGCUAUCACAUGAUUUGGAGACUUAUAGAUCAACCAUCAUAGAACAUAUCCCCAAGUUUAACUUCACCCUUGCUUAUCAUUGAUCUUUCAUUUGCAUUAUGGGAUCACACACUUACUUGCUAUCUUCAUUGUGAGCCAUAUAAUACACAUUCAACACAUGAGAUAAUAUUACAUCAUGAAUAUAAGAAUAAAAUCAUGCUCACAAUCUUAGGCAAACAAGUUAGUUCUUUAAU
rnacentral:lncRNA from 1 species